AACACACAGUUCUACCAUCCUGUUACCGUGUCCCUGUCCUUGUGUAUGACCAGGAACCAAGUUCCAUCAUUGCCUACGCUCUCAGUUGCCAUGACUACCAUCAGAAACUACAGGAGAUUCAGACAACUAUUGGCCAUUCACAAAGGGAUGCUUCCUCUCAGAGCAUCUCUAAAGGAAAUAAAUCAGGAGAUUCUGAUUCUGGUACCUCAGACAGUGAUAAAGG